rnacentral:rRNA from 1 species
GAUGAAUGCUAGCGGCAGGCCUAACACAUGCAAGUCGAGGGGUAGUUGUCUUCGGACAAUGAGACCGGCGCACGGGUGCGUAACGCGUAUGCAAUCUACCUUAUACUAAGGGAUAGCCCAGAGAAAUUUGGAUUAAUGCCCCAUGGUAUAUCGAGAUGGCAUCAUCAUGAUAUUAAAGUUCCAACGGUAAAAGAUGGGCAUGCGUCCUAUUAGCUGGAUGGUAAGGGAACGGCUUACCAUGGCUACGAUAGGUAGGGGUCCUGAGAGGGAGAUCCCCCACACUGGUACUGAGACACGGACCAGACUCCUACGGGAGGCAGCAGUGAGGAAUAUUGGACAAUGGGCGCAAGCCUGAUCCAGCCAUGCCGCGUGCAGGAAGACGGUCCUAUGGAUUGUAAACUGCUUUUGUACGGGAAGAAACACUCCUACGUGUAGGAGCUUGACGGUACCGUAAGAAUAAGGAUCGGCUAACUCCGUGCCAGCCGCCGCCGUAA